UACGUAGGUGGCAAGCGAUACUCGGAAUCACUAGGCGUAAAGCGCAGGUAGGCGGUUCGGUAAGUCUUUUGUGAAAGCUCCCGGCUCAACUGGGAGAGGCCAAGGGAAACUGCUGGACUAGAGUGUGGUAGGGGAUACUGGAAUUCCUGGUGUAGCGGUGAAAUGCGUAGAUAUCAGGAGGAAUACCUAUGGCGAAAGCAGGUAUCUGGGCCAUCACUGACGCUGAGCUGCGAAAGCUAGGGGAGCAAACAGG
rnacentral:rRNA from 1 species